rnacentral:rRNA from 1 species
AUUGAACGCUGGCGGCAUGCCUUACACAUGCAAGUCGAACGGUAACAGCACUUCGGUGGCUGACGAGUGGCGAACGGGUGAGUAAUACAUCGGAACGUGCCCGAGAGUGGGGGAUAACGCAGCGAAAGCUGUGCUAAUACCGCAUACGAUCUACGGAUGAAAGCAGGGGACCGCAAGGCCUUGCGCUCAUGGAGCGGCCGAUGGCAGAUUAGGUAGUUGGUGGGAUAAAAGCUUACCAAGCCGACGAUCUGUAGCUGGUCUGAGAGGACGACCAGCCACACUGGGACUGAGACACGGCCCAGACUCCUACGGGAGGCAGCAGUGGGGAAUUUUGGACAAUGGGGGAAACCCUGAUCCAGCCAUGCCGCGUGCAGGAUGAAGGCCUUCGGUUGUAAACUGCUUUGUACGGAACGAAAGGUACUUUCUAAUAAAGAAGACUCAUGACGGUACCGUAAGAAUAAGACACCGGCUAACUACGUGCCAGCAGCCGCGGUAAAC